UACAGCCCAAACCUGGGUUAUCUUUCAAUAAUUUCAUUCCAUCUAUCCUCCUUAUGACAUUUCAUACUCCUAGUUCAAGUGAAUGUAUUGCUCUGAAAAGACAUUACAAUUUAAUUUUGAUGGUUAAAAAAGUGAUUAUCCCCUUUAUAUCUUACUACACAUUUAGAUCUCACAUGAGAUGGCAAAGAGGUCAAGACAAAAAUUCUGCAUUUGGGAAAAGAAUAACACAUGGACUUCCUCCUACAGGACCCUGAGAAGUAUGUUGAGUUCCCUGGCAUUCUUAAAGGCAAGAGGGCAAGCAGUUUUAUAAAGGUAUUCCAAUAACUACUUUAUAAAAUCUGAAACUUCAUGUUAAUUUCAGUUUCAACAAAGUAGUUCACAUUAUGACUUCCCUAAAUCUUAACCUAGAUCUCGACAAGAAAUUAGUUAUAAUAAAGAGUUAAAGAAAAUAUUUUAAAGCUGCAUUUUGUCCUGUCUCUUAAUAUUUGAUAAUUAAAAUAUGUCAAAUUUGCAUAAUAUCCCUAACUUUGUCUCAGCAUGUUCAUAUCUAUUCGUCCAUCAUUUCUCCAACAGCACCUUUGAAAGACACAGCUAGAAUCAUGAUCCCAUUUGAUUCAGGAGAUAAUUGAGUCAAAAAGAGAUAAAAUGAUUUUCCAAAAAACACGGGACUAGUGAAUACUAACACCACAGCUAGGAAGCUAGGGUUAUGGUGUAUAAACCUCAUUUAUUUCAUUUAGAAAUGAACAAAAUGAAUUUUAAGUCACAUAUAAAGGAUAGAAAAGGCUACACCAAUGGUGUGAUUUCAGGAACUUAAAUAUUUUCUCAACAACCUUCCACAGACCCUGAACUCCUCACAGUUUCAAGUCAGGCAGUAUCCCCAGAAAGUCCCUAGUUGAAUGCAAAUACACAGUUUCUGAUUUACCCAAAAUCAAUGUACACAAUACCUUCUUUCCUGCCACACUUUCCCCACACACCAGUGCCUUGCAGCUGCUGAAAUAGGAACCACAAUGAAGACGAAUGGGACUUUUUAGAUUCUGUGGUGCAAAAAGUUAAGAAUAAGAAAGCUGUGUAAAUCACGAGCGUUAUAGAUAAAAAGAUGCAGAGGCAAACAUCUAAAUUGGUAUGAUCUUCUCGUGCUAACUGAAAAUAAAUCUUUAUGUAUUAUCUGAAUCUUUUUUACAUCAAUGUAUUGUUAUGUUAAAGUUCUACAAAUUCAUGAUUUAUUUAGGUAGCAACUAUUCCAAUCACUCUCAACCUUUGGGAGUUUAAGGGAUUAAGAGUUAUUCACACUUUCAUGAAUUAGUGGAAAUUAGUACUCUCAGAUUGUUUCCUAUUAACAAUGUUCUAGGAGUCUGACAUUUCUGACUUUGGAGAGUAGGGAAAGGGGCAGCUUGGAGGGAAGAAGGGGCACUAAACACUAAGUAUAGUUUGGUUUCUUUUUACUUAUUUUCUGUGAACUUAGAAAUAUGGCAACAGUUUAUAAGAUGGUUUCUACAAAAAAUUCUCUAAAGAAACUAUCUUGAUAGGAUUGUUAUUUGCUCACAUGCUAUAUAGGAUGCAUAAAGUAUUGACAUCCUUUUUACAUUAUAGCCCACAAGACUGAAAACUCCAGCAAACUUGUAAUAAUAGAUGAGAAUGCAAAAUCUAGAAAUUAGACACUUUCUAAAAAUCUUAAAUGUUCAGGGUCACUAAACUGUGGACUCCUGGGGACUUUAGGAGUAGAACCUAGAAAAACGUACUAGAAUAUGUACUAGAAUAAUACAAAGAGGUGUAGAAGGCAAUAGAGCAAAAAUAUAUUCUUCGUCUCUAUUUAUACAGGGCCAGUUUUGACAAAAAAUAAUUUUCAUGACAAAAUAGACAUAAAAGAUAUUAAGCAUUAUUUCUAGCCCCCAUUUUCAAUUUUGAUUUUGUGAGGAAAUUCAGGACACAUGCUCAAUGAAAGUGCCAUCUUUAUUUCAAGGAAACAUGUAAACAAUGUGAGAAACCUCACAAACAUUACACCAUAAAAGAGUGAAACACAGCUCUGUCAGUUUCAUUUCGAGAUUCUCCUUGAGGGAAGGAGGGAGAGAGAGAGAGAAUAAGAAAGACAGAAAGAGAAAAUGAGAGCUCGAUGAGACAAGAACAAACCUCAAUUUGUCUAAACAUCACAUGAAAAGAAAACAUUAAAAAGCUUGCCUGCAUUUUUACAAUGAAAACAUGCAUCCCACGUUCAGUUGUCUUGAUUAGCUCCAGUAAAAUCUUGGUCUGACAUUGCCUGUUACCCAGCAUACACUUAAGCUACCUUACCUUGUUAUUUAUGUAUUUAAUCCUAACUACCUUUAAUUAUGACUCAAAUAUUUAGAAUAAAAAACAAGAGGGUUGAUCUUCUAAAAAAAAAAAGUACUUCUUCCAGAAGCAAAUAUAUGAGCUUUAUCUUUACUGCUAUAACCAUUAUAUAUAAAAUAGUAGAUGGUUGUCUAUAUUUAAG
ensembl:lincRNA